rnacentral:ncRNA from 1 species
CUGGUUGAUCCUGCCAGUAGCAUAUGCUUAUCUCAAUGACUAAGCCAUGCCAUGUCUAAGUACGCACAGACGGUACAGUGAAAUUGUGAAUGGCUCAUUAAUAAAUCAGUUAUGGUUCCUGUGGUCGCUUGCUCCUCUCCUACUUGGAUAACUGUGGUAAUUCUAGAGCUAAUACAUGCCAAUGGGUGCUGAUCCCCUUUGCGGGGGGGAUGUGUGCAUUUAUCAGAUCAAAACCAACCUGGUCAGCCUCUCAUCCCGGCCCUGGCUGGGGGUGUGGGCGCCGGUGGCUUUGGUGACUCUAGAUAACCUCGGGUUGAUUGCACGCCCCCUGUGGUGGUGAUGACCCAUUUGAACAUCUGCCCUAUCAACUUUUGAUGGUAGUUGCUGUGCCUACCAUGGUUACCAUGUGUGAAUGGGGAAUCAGGGUUUUAUUCUGGAGAGGGGAGCCUGAGAAACGGCUACCACAUCCAAGGAAGGCAGCAGGUGAGGAAUUUACCCACUCGUGACCGGGGGAGGUAGUGAUGAAAAAUAAUCCAGCAUUCUUUUGAGGCCCUGUAAUUGAAAUGAGUCCAGUUUAAAUCCUUUGGUGAGGAUCCAUUGGAGGGCAAGUCUGGUGGCAGCAGCUGUGCGGUAAUUCCAGCUCCAGUAGCGUAUAUUAAAGUUGCUGCAGUUAAAANNNNN